rnacentral:rRNA from 1 species
CCUACGGGAGGCAGCAGUGGGGAAUAUUGGGCAAUGGGCGCAAGCCUGAUCCAGCAACGCCGCGUGAAGGAAGAAGGCUUUCGGGUUGUAAACCUCUUUUAUGGGGGAAGAGGAGAAGUCGAUACCACUUGACUUAGCCACGGCUAACUACGUGCCAGCAGCCGCGGUAAUACGGAGGUGGCAAGCGUUGUCCGGAUUUACUGGGUGUAAAGGGCGUGCAGCCUUGAGGACAAGUCAGGUGUGAAAGCCCGCGGCUCAACCGCGGAACUGCACGUGCCACUGUUUUUCUUGAGUACUGGAGAGGUGAUCGGAAUUCCUGGUGUAGCGGUGAAAUGCGUAGAUAUAAGGAAGAACACCAGUGGCGAAGGCGGAUGACUGGACGGCAACUGACGGUGAGGCGCGAAAGCGUGGGGAGCAAACAGGAUUAGAUACCCGUGUAGUC